rnacentral:rRNA from 1 species
AACGACUCUCGGCAACGGAUAUCUCGGCUCUCGCAUCGAUGAAGAACGUAGCGAAAUGCGAUACUUGAUGUGAAUUGCAGAAUCCCGUGAACCAUCGAGUCUUUGAACGCAAGUUGCGCCCGAGGCCAUUAGGCCGAGGGCACGUCUGGCUGGGUGUCACGCAAC